rnacentral:ncRNA from 1 species
UAUAUGCUGCCACCGGGUAGCUUUGAAUUAGCAUUCAUUUAUACAUCAUUAGGUCUUAGAAGAUGUAUAUUUUGAAUGCUUUUUUGUA